CGGUACCUAUCUUCAACUUUAAAACACUAAUCAGCACAACCACACGAUGAUAACCCUAAAUUCGAAGAACUGACUAUCUGGGCUUGAACCCUAGGCCAGUACAAAUCGACAUUUCGCGAAAUUAUCAAGGAAAUUGAGUUGAUCUCUGAAGUGUUUACCAAAGAUUGAGUAAUUUCGGUGCUGAGGCAAAGCAAACACAAGGCAAUGGAGAAUUCAUCAUCUUCCUUUGUCACGAAAAGCACAUCAUCAAUUAGGGGGUCCAACAAGCAGAUAUGCUUAUGUGGUGAUCCUUGUACUGUCAGAGUUUCUAAAACUGAAAAGAACCCAGGGAGGAUAUUUUUUGGUUGUCAUAAAUAUGGUGGACCUCUGGAUAAUUGUGACUUCUUUAUUUGGUGUGUUGAGACAAAUCCAGUAUCGACGAAGCUAAUCAAUGAUCUAGUGAUGAAGAACAGGCAAGAGUAUUGUCUUUCAAGAAAGGCUUGUUUGAUACAAAUCAAAACUUGGAAUCUACCAUACGAUAAGUUCAUUAUGAAUAAGUUAAGGAAAUUGGCAGCUUUUGUAUGUUGUUUUGUUGUGUCUUUAGUUUUGAUUCUAUUGAGUUACAUUUCAUAAACAGAAUAGGAGUUGUGUUUUUUUUCUAAGGAAUGGUUGGAUUGUAUGUGGGUUGUUAUCAUUCAGCUUUAUGUAUCAAGAUCUUUUAAUUGGAUGCCAGUGGAACUAAUCUUUUUUUCUGGUUGAA